UUCAGCGGUGCCUGGUACCAGGACAAGGGGCAGUGGGCACAAACUGGAAUACA
rnacentral:miRNA from 7 species